GAUGAACGCUGGCGGCGUGCCUAAUACAUGCAGGUCGAGCGAACAGAUGAGGAGCUUGCUCCUCUGACGUUAGCGGCGGACGGGUGAGUAACACGUGGAUAACCUACCUAUAAGACUGGGAUAACUACGGGAAACCGGAGCUAAUACCGGAUAAUAUAUUGAACCGCAUGGUUCAAUAGUGAAAGACGGUUUUGCUGUCACUUAUAGAUGGAUCCGCGCCGCAUUAGCUAGUUGGUAAGGUAACGGCUUACCAAGGCAACGAUGCGUAGCCGACCUGAGAGGGUGAUCGGCCCCACUGGAACUGAGACACGGUCCAGACUCCUACGGGAGGCAGCAGUAGGGAAUCUUCCGCAAUGGGCGAAAGCCUGACGGAGCAACGCCGCGUGAGUGAUGAAGGUCUUCGGAUCGUAAAACUCUGUUAUUAGGGAAGAACAAAUGUGUAAGUAACUAUGCACGUCUUGACGGUACCUAAUCAGAAAGCCACGGCUAACUACGUG
rnacentral:rRNA from 1 species